CAGUUGGAAGGAAAGAACCAACAGGGAUUGCCCUAGUAACGGCGAGUGAAGCGGCAACAGCUCAAAUUUGAAAUCUGGCCUCGGCCCGAGUUGUAAUUUGCAGAGGAUGUUUCUGGCGCGGUGCCUUCCGAGUUCCCUGGAACGGGACGCCACAGAGGGUGAGAGCCCCGUAUGGUUGGACACCAAGCCUGUGUGAAACUCCUUCGACGAGUCGAGUAGUUUGGGAAUGCUGCUCAAAAUGGGAGGUAAAUCUCUUCUAAAGCUAAAUACCGGCCAGAGACCGAUAGCGCACAAGUAGAGUGAUCGAAAGAUGAAAAGCACCUUGAAAAGGGGGUUAAACAGUACGUGAAAUUGUUGAAAGGGAAGCGCUUGUGACCAGACUUGCGCCGGGCGGUUCAUCCGGGGUUCUCCCCGGUGCACUCCGCCCGGGUCAGGCCAGCAUCGGUUCUCGUUGGGGGAUAAGAACGGCAGGAACGUGGCCCUCCCUCUGGGAGGGUGUUAUAGCCUGUCGUACGAUACCCUGAUGGGGACCGAGGUUCGCGCUCCGCAAGGAUGCUGGCGUAAUGGUCAUCAGCGACCCGUCUUGAAACACGGACCAAGGAGUCGUCCAUUAGAGCGAGCGUUUGGGUGUCAAACCCGCACGCGUAAUGAAAGUGAAAUUAGGUGAGAGCUUCGGCGCAUCAUCGACCGAUCCUGAUGUUCUCGGAUGGAUUUGAGUAAGAGUUUUAACGGACGGACCCGAAAGACAGUGAACUAUGCUUGUAUAGGGUGAAGCCAGAGGAAACUCUGGUGGAGGCUCGCAGCGGUUCUGACGUGCAAAUCGAUCGUCAAAUAUGAGCAUGGGGGCGAAAGACUAAUCGAACUGUCUAGUAGCUGGUUACCGCCGAAGUUCCCCCUCAGGAUAACA
rnacentral:rRNA from 1 species